UCUCCUGUUCACGCAGCGCUCCGGGACGUCAUCACCCAGCAAUGCGGAAGAGAGCAGAGCGGGCUGGGGGCGGUGGCACCCUGGAAUAGGUGUUUUAAUUAGCACAGGUUCCUACAUUACUGACUACGUAUUGGGCUCUAUUUUAAAGGAAUGUUUCAUGGAAACCCAACUACCCAGACCCCAGAUGAGAAAGAGGAUUAGGCAAUGCUGUAAACUACAUUAGUUUCAAGACCAAUAUAGUCGUGGCAGUGGUGGAGUAUGCAGGAGAAUCAGAGAAAACUGAUGGCCCAUCUGAUAAGGAGCUACCACUGGGAAAGAUGCUGGAGUCUUUCCAUGAUCUUACUGAAGGCAAAUAAAUGUGUAAUACAGUG